rnacentral:sRNA from 1 species
UUAGAUGGUUUUACAGUUCUUUUGUUUAUUUUGGGUGAGGUGUGUGUUCCAAACUGCCAAUAGCCAUUAGUUGGAUACAUUUUGUUGUUACUGCAAAUGCUGAAGACAGUGUUAUGUAACUCACUGUUGUGCAGUUCAGAGUGUCAUGCUGGCAGGCAACUACCUGUUCCCCCUUUAUUUUUUUUGUUGUCUUGCUUCACAGUGGAUUUCAGAACAGAAAACUGUGUCAGCUUGUCUCGAUGAUAACCAACUUGUUUGGCCCUUUCCACAAUAUAGAAGCCACUUUGUGCUCAGUGUCAAGCUUGCUCCUUCAAAGAAAUUCCAGUCUCAGUCCUGCAGUGUAAAAGAGAGAUGAUUUGGCUACAGCAACAAUGUUUGAGGCACUUCUUUUGCAAAAUAUUCUGAGAUCAACCAGUCGUUUUCGCCCAAAAAGCAUCUCCAACAUUUCAGACAAAUAUUUGAAAUGAAUGGACAUCAGUGAGUAUGCUCUAAUGUCAUUUCAAGGGGAAUUUAAACAUAGAUUCAGAAUCAUUACAGAUUUUGAGAAGAGAAUUACUUUGUUAUCUCUCCCUCAGUGAAAAAGGAUUGUGACACAUCACCUGAAAGUAGAGUUUAUUUCUUCAGGAUGCUGCUCACUUUGGACCUGGCUUUUGGACCUCACUUUGCC